rnacentral:rRNA from 1 species
AGGGUUUGAUCCUGGCUCAGAACGAACGCUGGCGGCGUGCUUAAUACAUGCAAGUCGAACGAGAACUCAGAGCUUGCUCUGAGGGACAGUGGCAGACGGGUGAGUAACGCGUGGCAACCUACCUUUCGGUACGGAACAACAGUUGGAAACGACUGCUAAUACCGUAUACGUCCUCCGGGAGAAAGAUUUAUCGCCGAUAGAUGGGGCCGCGUUAGAUUAGCUUGUUGGUGGGGUAAUGGCCUACCAAGGCGACGAUCUAUAGCGGGUCUGAGAGGAUGAUCCGCCACACUGGGACUGAGACACGGCCCAGACUCCUACGGGAGGCAGCAGUAGGGAAUAUUGGACAAUGGGCGAAAGCCUGAUCCAGCAACGCCGCGUGAAUGAUGAAGGCCUUAGGGUUGUAAAAUUCUUUCGCUAGGGAAGAUAAUGACUGUACCUAGUAAAGAAGCCCCGGCUAACUCCGUGCCAGCAGCCGCGGUAAUACGGAGGGGGCUAGCGUUGUUCGGAAUUACUGGGCGUAAAGCGUGCGUAGGCGGACUAUUAAGUUAGGGGUGAAAUCCCGAGGCUCAACCUCGGAACUGCCUCUAAAACUGGUAGUCUUGAGUUCUGGAGAGGUAAGUGGAAUUCCUAGUGUAGAGGUGAAAUUCGUAGAUAUUAGGAGGAACACCAGAGGCGAAGGCGGCUUACUGGACAGAUACUGACGCUGAGGCACGAAAGUGUGGGGAGCAAACAGGAUUAGAUACCCUGGUAG